UGGGGAAUAUUGGACAAUGGGCGAAAGCCUGAUCCAGCAAUGCCGCGUGAGUGAUGAAGGCCUUCGGGUUGUAAAGUACUUUCAGCGGGGAGGAAGGCGACGGGGUUAAUAACCCUGUCGAUUGACGUUACCCGCAGCAGAAGCACCGGCUAACUCCGUGCCAGCAGCCGCGGUAAUACGGAGGGGGCUAGCGUUGUUCGGAAUUACUGGGCGUAAAGCGCGCGUAGGCGGCUUUGUAAGUUAGAGGUGAAAGCCCGGGGCUCAACUCCGGAACUGCCUUUAAGACUGCAUCGCUAGAAUCGUGGAGAGGUGAGUGGAAUUCCGAGUGUAGAGGUGAAAUUCGUAGAUAUUCGGAAGAACACCAGUGGCGAAGGCGACUCGCUGGACAGGUAUUGACGCUGAGGUGCGAAAGCGUGGGGAGCAAAC
rnacentral:rRNA from 1 species